rnacentral:tRNA from 2 species
AAAUAAGAAACGAUAUAUUGUAUUUAGUUUCGACCUAAACCUAGGCUCAAGCCCUUAUUUG